rnacentral:rRNA from 1 species
GGCCGCGCCGUGAGCGCCCUGGUGCAGGAUCGGCCGGCCACUGACCACACCCUUACUUUACGAGCACCUUUCGUUCUCCUUCGGCGGGGCAACCCGCCGCUGGAACCUCAUCAAACCUUUUUUGCAUCUAGCAUUACCUGUUCUGAUAAAAAACAAUCGUAACAACUUUCAACAAUGGAUCUCUUGGCUCUGGCAUCGAUGAAGAACGCAGCGAAAUGCGAUAAGUAGUGUGAAUUGCAGAAUUCAGUGAAUCAUCGAAUCUUUGAACGCACAUUGCGCCCCUUGGUAUUCCAUGGGGCAUGCCUGUUCGAGCGUCAUCUACACCCUCAAGCUCUGCUUGGUGUUGGGCGUCUGUCCCGCCUCUGCGCGCGGACUCGCCCCAAAGGCAUUGGCAGCGGUCCACGGCCCCUCUCGCGCAGCACAUUGCGCUUCUCGAGGCGGCCCGGCCCGCAUCCACGAAGCCCACAUUACCGUCUUUGACCUCGGAUCAGGUAGGGAUACCCGCUGAACUUAAGCAUAUCAAUAAGCGGAGGA